UACGGAGGAUCCGAGCGUUAUCCGGAUUUAUUGGGUUUAAAGGGUGCGUAGGCGGCCUGGUAAGUCAGGGGUGAAAGACGGUAGCUUAACUAUCGCAGUGCCCUUGAUACUGCUGGGCUUGAAUGUAGUUGAGGUAGGCGGAAUAUGACAAGUAGCGGUGAAAUGCAUAGAUAUGUCACAGAACACCAAUUGCGAAGGCAGCUUACUAAAGUAUGAUUGACGCUGAGGCACGAAAGCGUGGGGAUCAAACAGG
rnacentral:rRNA from 1 species